UACGGGGGGGGCAAGCGUUGUUCGGAAUUACUGGGCGUAAAGGGCUCGUAGGUGGCCAACUAAGUCGGACGUGAAAUCCCUCGGCUUAACCGGGGAACUGCGUCUGAUACUGGAUGGCUUGAGUUCGGGAGAGGGAUGCGGAAUUCCAGGUGUAGCGGUGAAAUGCGUAGAUAUCUGGAGGAACACCUGUGGCGAAGGCGGCAUCCUGGACCGACACUGACGCUGAGGAGCGAAAGCCAGGGGAGCAAACGGG
rnacentral:rRNA from 1 species